AAUGAACGUUGGCGGCGUGGAUUAGGCAUGCAAGUCGAGCGAGAAUUUGCGAUUGGAAGCUUCGGCCGAAGAAAGUGAAGGAAAGCGGCAAACGGCGUAGUAAGGCGUAGGUACGUACCCUCGGGUCGGGAAUAGCCAUGGGAAACUGUGGGUAAUGCCCGAUAAUCUCUGCGGAGCAAAGGUGUGAUUCCGCCGGAGGAGCGGCUUACGUGAUAUUAGCUAGUUGGUGGGGUAAUGGCCUACCAAGGCAACGAUGUCUAGGGGGUGUGAGAGCAUGGCCCCCACGACCGGAACUGAGACACUGUCCGGACACCUACGGGUGGCUGCAGUCGAGAAUCUUCCGCAAUGGGCGAAAGCCUGACGGAGCGACGCCGCGUGGUGGAUGAAGGCCCUUGGGUUGUAAACACCUGUCAGAGGGGAUGAAGUGCCGGAAAGCUAUCUUUCCGGUUUGACAUAGCCUCAGAGGAAGCACGGGCUAAGUUCGUGCCAGCAGCCGCGGUAAUGU
rnacentral:rRNA from 1 species